rnacentral:rRNA from 1 species
AUGCCGGAGCUGGACGUGACCACGCCGCUCGCGACCGUCCCGCUGGUGAACCCAACACCGAUGCCGGAGGCGACCGCCGCGCCGUCGCUGGCGCACCCGACGGCCGCGGCUGGCGCGGGGAGCUGGUGCGUGGCAAGCCCGAGCGCGGGCGCGGCGGCGCUGCAGGUGGCGCUGGACUACGCGUGCGGGCAGGGCGCGGACUGCUCGCCGAUCCAGCCCGGCGGGAGCUGCGCCGACCCGGACACCGUCCGCGACCACGCCUCCUACGCCUUCAACUCCUACUACCAGAAGAACCCCGUCCAGACCAGCUGCGACUUCGCCGGCGCCGCCAUCCUCACCAGCACCGACCCUAGCACCACCUCCUGCAAGUACCCAUCCACCAGUACCGGUGCUUCCGUCCUGAACACGACGUCUCCGGUGACCCCGGUGAACCCGACGUACGGAUCCCCUCCCGGCGGCUCCUACAACUCUCCUCCUGGUCCUGGCGGCUACUACAACUCCCCGCCUCUCUAUGGGUCCAUGUCGCCCCCGGACUACGGCGGCAGCAUCAGCGCCGCCACGGCCAUGAUGCCAGGCAGCAAGAGCACGACGGCCGCCACGUCGCUGACGUGCCUCCUCGUCGUCGCAACGGUGUCUCUCAACCUGUGCAAGUAA